rnacentral:rRNA from 1 species
UACGUAGGGGGCAAGCGUUGUCCGGAUUUAUUGGGCGUAAAGAGCUCGUAGGUGGUUCGGUAAGUCGGAUGUGAAAACCUGCAGCUUAACUGUGGGCUUGCGGUCGAUACGGGCAUCACUGGAGUUCGGCAGGGGAGACUGGAAUUCCUGGUGUAGCGGUGAAAUGCGCAGAUAUCAGGAGGAACACCGGUGGCGAAGGCGGUUCUCUGGGCAUUACCUGACGCUGAGGAGCGAAAGUGUGGGGAGCGAACAGG